GACAUCACGCCAUGGCUGAAUGUUUACCAGCCAUGGUUGUGUAGUAAAAAAUAUCUUCGUUUCCUUAAUCACGCUGUGCUAGACCUUCGGCUAUCAUCUAAUAGGCAACGAGAUGCCCGUUCCGGUACAAGGCGGCUACCAGCGAGGUCCCAGCUGCUGGGAUCGCGUGAAAAUGGGCUUCACGAUUGGUUUUUGCGUCGGAAUGGCGUCAGGAGCGCUCUUCGGAGGUUUUUCCGCUCUCAGAUAUGGCCUGAGGGGGCGAGAACUGAUCCAGAGUGUUGGCAAAGUGAUGCUACAGGGCGGUGGCACAUUUGGAACAUUCAUGUCCAUAGGAACUGCAAUCAGAUGCUGAAAGUCUAUAGCCGUUUACCUACUCUAUGUUUCGCCGAUCUGCUCCGAGAUGUAAAAUGAAUCACAGCGUAUAAAAUUUUGUUUUCUUUUGCGACGUGAAGUGGCCAACUGCCUUGGGGAUAAUGGAUUUCCUACCCUUAAUCAAUACAGCCUUCAUUCUUUUUUGGCAUUUCUUAACGUUGCUUCUUCAAUAAACGAAUAAAACUCUAUAUACUUCAAUAA